rnacentral:pre_miRNA from 1 species
GUUGGGGGUGCCGGAUCCUGGGCUGUGUUCCCUGGCGCCCUGGGCCCUGGGGCCUGUACCGCUUGAAUCACGCUCCUGGGGCAGCACAGCCCACU